UUGUAACAUCAGCUGAUAAAACGCGCAGCACCGCAGUAUUUUACACAUUGCACCGUUAAUAUCACCUGUUUAGUUGGAGCCGGGUCUAUACUCUGAGCCGGUUAGCCUGAAACAUGUUACUAUAGUAACGUCACAGACUGCUGAAUGAGAAAGCCUGAAACGUGUUGCUAUAGUAACGUCACAGUUACCUGUCUGAGGAUUAACGUUGUUAAUGAUGACAUCACAUGGCGCUG